UACGUAGGGGCAGCAGUGUCGGAUCGAUUGUGCGUAAAGAGCUCGUAGGCGGCUUGUCGCGUCGAUUGUGAAAGCCCGGGGCUUAACCUCGGGUCUGCAGUCGAUACGGGCUGGCUAGAGUGUGGUAGGGGAGAUCGGAAUUCCUGGUGUAGCGGUGAAAUGCGCAGAUAUCAGGAGGAACACCGGUGGCGAAGGCGGAUCUCUGGGCCAUUACUGACGCUGAGGAGCGAAAGCGUGGGGAGCGAACAGG
rnacentral:rRNA from 1 species